GGCUGAGGCACAUUUUUUUUUAAUGAAAUAGUUAAAAAUUAUAGUUUAGUUAUUAAUUCAUAACUUUUACAUCUAAAAGUUUGUUCAAAUGGCUUAUUUCACAUUUUUGUUGUUUGUGAAAUGGUGCCAACCAGCAUCUUCAAAGCUGAAGAAAAAUCAUGAUUGUAGGGGAGAUAGUCAAGCUAUUCCCACCCAAACUUGGCAAUAUGAUUUGUUGUUGCUGCCUACCAUAAGGGGUCUCAUGUUGUCAUCAAGGAGUGUGGAACCACAUAUGCCUCAUGCCCAUUCAUAGUAGAUAGCUGCUUACUCUUCAUCUUUCAUCCACAUCUCACCACAUCUGCAACACACAUCUAUUCACUAUAUUAUCUUCAAAUAUUUUACCAUAUAUCUACUAUCUCAAAAAAUAUAUACUAUAUAAGCAAAACUUGUUUUCAGACUAUCCUUCAUAAAAUUCUAAUAUAAAACUGGUC
rnacentral:lncRNA from 1 species